CACAAGCCGAUCGAUACGCGCGGGCACCGUUGUCAUGGGAACGGCAGAGCGGCCCCGGAUGGGAGGCUAGGCGCCGCCGCGACGACGAGCCUUUCGCGAGGCUACAUCCGGGCACUGCGUCGUCUGCUACGCGCAAGAUGGCCGCUCGGCGCAAAUAAAUCGCGUUUUUUCAGUAUUCUGUCGCGUAGUCGCGAUUGAAAUCGAAAAUUCGGUGAUUUAGUUCCCGGGUAAAUUACGAAGAACGUCGUCGCGAGUGAAAAAAAUGUGCCACGUGACUCUCGGGAUACAAGUAAACAUACAAAAAACAACGCCGCCGGCAUCGUGGACGAAGGGCGGAACGCCAUAUUGGAAUGGCCGCCGAUGGGGAUCGGAGCCCGAGUCGUAGAAUUAACGCCGACGCCAAAGAAAACGUCAAACGCUUCACGAAUGUAGCUCAAUCGGAUCCAGACACACAACUACCGACUUCGGAACCGUUUUAAAACCGGUCGCACUCAAAGCUCCGCUGGAUAAGACGCCAUUGGCUGGACGCGAAUGCGGGGAAUUAUCUGCGAGGACCUCUACUGCAGUAAUGACGCCAGCUCCAGCGGACAUUGUGCAAGAAGGAUUGAACGGCGUAUCAAAUUGCUAGUAUUAUUUACAUAUCGUGUGCGUAUUCGGGGAAAG
rnacentral:lncRNA from 1 species